rnacentral:rRNA from 1 species
CAGUAGCCGCGGUAAUACGUAGGGUGCAAGCGUUAAUCGGAAUUACUGGGCGUAAAGCGCGCGCAGGCGGUUUGUUAAGACAGAUGUGAAAUCCCCGGGCUCAACCUGGGAACUGCAUUUGUGACUGGCAAGCUAGAGUCUGGCAGAGGGGGGUGGAAUUCCGCGUGUAGCAGUGAAAUGCGUAGAUAUGCGGAGGAACACCGAUGGCGAAGGCAGCCCCCUGGGCCAACACUGACGCUCAUGCACGAAAGCGUGGGGAGCAAACAGGAUUAGAUACCCCAGUAGUCCCUGUCUCUUAUAC